UCUCCUUGACCUGAGUUGUCUCAGGAGGUCCAUUGUGGCCCUCCUGAGACAACUCAGGUCAAGGAGA